rnacentral:rRNA from 1 species
UGUGGUGCCCGUACCGCAAACCGACACAGGUAGUCAAGAUGAGAAUUCUAAGGUGAGCGAGCGAACUCUCGUUAAGGAACUCGGCAAAAUGACCCCGUAACUUCGGGAGAAGGGGUGCUCUUUAGGGUUAACGCCCAGGAGAGCCGCAGUGAAUAGGCCCAAGCGACUGUUUAUCAAAAACACAGGUCUCUGCUAAACCGUAAGGUGAUGUAUAGGGGCUGACGCCUGCCCGGUGCUGGAAGGUUAAGAGGAGUGGUUAGCUUCUGCGAAGCUACGAAUCGAAGCCCCAGUAAACGGCGGCCGUAACUAUAACGGUCCUAAGGUAGCGAAAUUCCUUGUCGGGUAAGUUCCGACCCGCACGAAAGGCGUAACGAUUUGGGCACUGUCUCAACGAGAGACUCGGUGAAAUCAUAGUACCUGUGAAGAUGCAGGUUACCCGCGACAGGACGGAAAGACCCCGUGGAGCUUUACUGUAGUCUGAUAUUGAAAUUCGGCACAGCUUGUACAGGAUAGGUAGGAGCCUGAGAUACGUGAGCGCUAGCUUACGUGGAGGCGUUGGUGGGAUACUACCCUCGCUGUGUUGGAUUUCUAACCCGCACCAUUUAUCAUGGUGGGAGACAGUGUCAGAUGGGCAGUUUGACUGGGGCGGUCGCCUCCUAAAGAGUAACGGAGGCGCUCAAAGGUUUCCUCAGAAUGGUUGGAAAUCAUUCAUAGAGUGUAAAGGCAUAAGGAAGCUUGACUGCGAGACUUACAAGUCGAGCAGGGUCGAAAGACGGACUUAGUGAUCCGGUGGUUCCGCAUGGAAGGGCCAUCGCUCAACGGAUAAAAGCUACCCCGGGGAUAACAGGCUUAUCUCCCCCAAGAGUUCACAUCGACGGGGAGGUUUGGCACCUCGAUGUCGGCUCAUCGCAUCCUGGGGCUGUAGUCGGUCCCAAGGGUUGGGCUGUUCGCCCAUUAAAGCGGUACGCGAGCUGGGUUCAGAACGUCGUGAGACAGUUCGGUCCCUAUCCGUCGUGGGCGUAGGAAAUUUGAGAGGAGCUGUCCUUAGUACGAGAGGACCGGGAUGGACAUACCUCUGGUG